UACGUAGGGUGCGAGCGUUGUCCGGAAUUACUGGGCGUAAAGAGCUCGUAGGUGGUUUGUCGCGUUGUUCGUGAAAACUCACAGCUCAACUGUGGGCGUGCGGGCGAUACGGGCAGACUGGAGUACUGCAGGGGAGACUGGAAUUCCUGGUGUAGCGGUGGAAUGCGCAGAUAUCAGGAGGGAACACCGGUGGGCGAAGGCGGGUCUCUGGGCAGUAAACUGACGCUGGAGGAG
rnacentral:rRNA from 1 species